rnacentral:rRNA from 1 species
UGAGUUAUUAUGAAGUAGUUAGAAUAUGUAGUGUAGCGGUGAAAUGCAUAGAUAUUACAUAGAAUACCAAUUGCGAAGGCAGAUUACUAAUAAUCAACUGACACUGAUGGACGAAAGCGUGGGUAGCGAACAGGAUUAGAUACCCUGGUAGUCCACGCCGUAAACGAUGGUUACUAGCUGUUUGGACUUCGGUCUGAGUGGCUAAGCGAAAGUGAUAAGUAACCCACCUGGGGAGUACGUUCGCAAGAAUGAAACUCAAAGGAAUUGACGGGGGCCCGCACAAGCGGUGGAGCAUGUGGUUUAAUUCGAUGAUACGCGAGGAACCUUACCAGGGCUUAAAUGUAAGUUGCAUUAGUUAGAGAUAGCUAUUUCUUCGGACCACUUACAAGGUGCUGCAUGGUUGUCGUCAGCUCGUGCCGUGAGGUGUCAGGUUAAGUCCUAUAACGAGCGCAACCCCUGUUGUUAGUUGCCAGCGAUUCAAGUCGGGAACUCUAACAAGACUGCCGGUGCAAACCGUGAGGAAGGUGGGGAUGACGUCAAAUCAUCACGGCCCUUACGUCCUGGGCUACACACGUGCUACAAUGGUAGGGACAGAGAGCAGCCACUACGCGAGUAGGAGCGAAUCUAUAAACCCUAUCACAGUUCGGAUCGGAGUCUGCAACUCGACU